UAUAUUCAAAGAUCAGCGAAACCUGGCGCCAACUAGGUGAAAGGGGACGAGGAAGACUAUCAGCCUUCACCAGAACAACCCCGGCCCAGAAUUAUUUGGAAGAUCUGCGCAGAUGCAACUAAUUAGCAUGAGGAGCGAGGAUAGGCGUGGUUAGAUAAUGAAUAUGUAUAGGCGUUAUUAGAAUAUUCAUUACUCAAUUGUAUAAAUGAGAUGUAACUUUUGUUGUGGGCAUGCACGAUAGGUGGAGAGAUCCCCCGUGCAUCCAGCGCGCUGCAAAUAAAGAAUAUACUAC